rnacentral:rRNA from 1 species
UGCCAGCAGCCGCGGUAAUACGGAGGGGGUUAGCGUUGUUCGGAAUUACUGGGCGUAAAGCGCACGUAGGCGGAUUGGAAAGUAGGGGGUGAAAUCCCAGGGCUCAACCCUGGAACUGCCUCCUAAACUGUUAGUCUUGAGAUCGAGAGAGGUGAGUGGAAUUCCAAGUGUUGAGGUGAAAUUCGUAGAUAUUUGGAGGAACACCAGUGGCGAAGGCGGCUCACUGGCUCGAUACUGACGCUGAGGUACGAAAGUGUGGGGAGCAAACAGGAUUAGAUA